UAAUGACGAAAGCAGAUAUUUUAAAGACAGCAAGAUUACUACGCUCACUUCCUGUGAUAAGGCGCAUUGGACAAUAUACAGAGUAUGGUGCUGUCGUACUACUUUUGUUUAUGGUAUUAAUCCCACAAGUAGGACACUGGUUAGCUUACAAGUGUGUUUUAUGCCAUUGCAUACUGGGAGCAACUGCACUUGGAAAAAAAGCCAUAGGAUGGUUACAUAGUGUAGCCAGAAGUAUCAGUGAAGCUAACAUUGCCAACGUUACAGAUAGUUGACCCAGCAUAAAGGCGUAUUACAUCACAGCUUUUACGUUUACGUCACUGACGUCAAUAGGAUUCGGAAACGUGUCACCAAAUAACAACGGCGAAAACAUAUUCUCAAUAUUUGCUGUUCUGCUUGGAUCACUGCUGAGAGUCAACGGUGAGAGUGUAUCAUGAGACAGAUGAAUAGCACGAGAAAAUGAAGAGUACUAAAGAAACCAAAACAUUCAUCAUCAUCCGAAGAAUCUUGCAAACUGAUUGCACGAGUCCUUCUUACACACCUGGGCGUACACUAAUGGAAUUGACAUGAACAUGGUACAGUAUAUACAGAGUUUCUAUGAAUCAAGAGCGUUCAGUCUCAGUUUUAACUGAAGGUAGUUGCCCGUGCUGACAAUCGGAAAUUUCCGUGUAUUUACGUAAUACUCCGUGUGUGAUUUCGGAAGGCUUCUGUCGUGAUAGGAAAUUCCUUUUCAUAAGUACUGGAGAACACUGAAAUCGCAUACUGAUAAAACAUCAGUGAACGGAAAAUAUCGAAUGUC
rnacentral:lncRNA from 1 species